rnacentral:rRNA from 1 species
AUUGAACGCUGGCGGCAGGCCUAACACAUGCAAGUCGAGCGGAUGAAGGGAGCUUGCUCCUGGAUUCAGCGGCGGACGGGUGAGUAAUGCCUAGGAAUCUGCCUGGUAGUGGGGGAUAACGUCCGGAAACGGGCGCUAAUACCGCAUACGUCCUGAGGGAGAAAGUGGGGGAUCUUCGGACCUCACGCUAUCAGAUGAGCCUAGGUCGGAUUAGCUAGUUGGUGGGGUAAAGGCCUACCAAGGCGACGAUCCGUAACUGGUCUGAGAGGAUGAUCAGUCACACUGGAACUGAGACACGGUCCAGACUCCUACGGGAGGCAGCAGUGGGGAAUAUUGGACAAUGGGCGAAAGCCUGAUCCAGCCAUGCCGCGUGUGUGAAGAAGGUCUUCGGAUUGUAAAGCACUUUAAGUUGGGAGGAAGAGAAGUAAGUUAAUACCUGGCUGUUUUGACGUUACCAACAGAGUAAGCACCGGCUAACUUCGUG